rnacentral:rRNA from 1 species
ACGUAGGUGACAAGCGUUGUCCGGAUUUAUUGGGCGUAAAGGGAGCGCAGGCGGUCUGUUUAGUCUAAUGUGAAAGCCCACGGCUUAACCGUGGAACGGCAUUGGAAACUGACAGACUUGAAUGUAGAAGAGGAAAAUGGAAUUCCAAGUGUAGCGGUGGAAUGCGUAGAUAUUUGGAGGAACACCAGUGGCGAAGGCGAUUUUCUGGUCUAACAUUGACGCUGAGGCUCGAAAGCGUGGGGAGCGAACAGG